CGUGGGGAACCUGCCCCAUAGUCUGGGAUACCACUUGGAAACAGGUGCUAAUACCGGAUAAGAAAGCGGAUCGCAUGAUCAGCUUUUAAAAGGCGGCGUAAGCUGUCGCUAUGGGAUGGCCCCGCGGUGCAUUAGCUAGUUGGUAAGGUAAAGGCCUACCAAGGCGAUGAUGCAUAGCCGAGUUGAGAGACUGAUCGGCCACAUUGGGACUGAGACACGGCCCAAACUCCUACGGGAGGCAGCAGAU
rnacentral:rRNA from 1 species